CGUAUGCAACCUACCUUCAUCUGGGGGAUAGCCCGGAGAAAUCCGGAUUAAUACCGCAUAAAAUCACAGGAUGGCAUUAUCCAAUGAUCAAACAUUUAUGGGAUGGAGAUGGGCAUGCGUGUCAUUAGCUAGUUGGCGGGGUAACGGCCCACCAAGGCGACGAUGACUAGGGGAUCUGAGAGGAUGGCCCCCCACACUGGUACUGAGACACGGACCAGACUCCUACGGGAGGCAGCAGUAAGGAAUAUUGGUCAAUGGAGGCAACUCUGAACCAGCCAUGCCGCGUGCAGGAAGACUGCCCUAUGGGUUGUAAACUGCUUUUAUUCGGGAAUAAACCUUAUUACGUGUAAUAAGCUGAAUGUACCGAAGGAAUAAGGAUCGGCUAACUCCGUGCCAGCAGCCGCGGUAAUACGGAGGAUCCAAGCGUUAUCCGGAUUUAUUGGGUUUAAAGGGUGCGUAGGCGGCCUGUUAAGUCAGGGGUGAAAGACGGUAGCUCAACU
rnacentral:rRNA from 1 species